GCCGGGGUGGCGAAACUGGCUAGACGCAAGGGACUUAAAAUCCCUCGGGAGCAAUCCCAUCCGGGUUCGAUUCCCGGCCCCGGCA
rnacentral:tRNA from 1 species